rnacentral:rRNA from 1 species
UAAGGAAUAUUGCGCAAUGGGCGACAGCCUGACGCAGCGACGCCGCGUGGGGGAUGAAGGUCUUCGGAUUGUAAACCCCUUUCGGCAGGGAAGAUGGAACGGGUAACCGUUCGGACGGUACCUGCAGAAGCAGCCACGGCUAACUUCGUGCCAGCAGCCGCGGUAAUACGAAGGUGGCAAGCGUUGUUCGGAUUUACUGGGCGUACAGGGAGCGUAGGCGGUUGGGUAAGCCCUCCGUGAAAUCUCCGGGCCUAACCCGGAAAGUGCGGAGGGGACUGCUCGGCUAGAGGAUGGGAGAGGAGCGCGGAAUUCCCGGUGUAGCGGUGAAAUGCGUAGAGAUCGGGAGGAAGGCCGGUGGCGAAGGCGGCGCUCUGGAACAUUUCUGACGCUGAGGCUCGAAAGCGUGGGGAGCAAACAGGAUUAGAUACCCUUGUAGUCCCUGAGCGGGCUGGCAAGGCGCAU